rnacentral:rRNA from 1 species
AGCGAACGCUGGCGGCAGGCCUAAUACAUGCAAGUCGAACGGCUCUUCGGAGCAGUGGCGGACGGGUGAGUAACGCGUGGGAACGUGCCCUUUGGUACGGAACAACUGAGGGUAACUUCAGCUAAUACCGUAUGUGCCCUUCGGGGAAAGGAUUUAUCGCCAUUGGAGCGGCCCGCCGUUGGAUUAGCUAGUUGGUAGGGUAAUGGCCUACCAAGGCUACGAUCCAUAGCUGGUCUGAGAGGAUGAUCAGCCACACUGGGACUGAGACACGGCCCAGACUCCUACGGGAGGCAGCAGUAGGGAAUCUUGCGCAAUGGGCGAAAGCCUGACGCAGCCAUGCCGCGUGUAUGAUGAAGGUCUUAGGAUUGUAAAAUACUUUCACCGGGGAAGAUAAUGACGGUACCCGGAGAAGAAGCCCCGGCUAACUUCGUGCCAGCAGCCGCGGUAAUGUACAGUG